rnacentral:lncRNA from 1 species
UCACCUGGGAGCGCCCAAAAUAAAGAGUAGGAACGCACGGAACCUUCCCCCCGAUGGACGCCCCCGGUCUCACCUCAACCUCAGCAUCCUCCUCCUCCUCUCCCUCAUCCGAGGAUACAGCAUGAACCUCGGUUUCUCCUGUACCUUUCGAGGCUUCGCCUAUCUCACCUUCACCUUCGCCCCUAUCAGAUGACCAAUCAGGCGAACUGCUCCCCGAAGAUCCCUCUUCAGCAGAAACAAAACCAUCCUUCGUAUAGAUUCGCUUCUUUGACCUCUUCCUCCC